UGGAGACGAAGACGAGGUCUGGUUGUGACAAAGGUUUAGUGGUGAUGAAGAAAUAGACUAGAAAGACAAGAUCUGUGAGAUUAGGAAGCAUGAGAUUAACGAAGAAAAAAAAAAGUAAAAGCGAAAGAGAAGAGAAAGGGACGGAAAGAAAUACAAGAGAAGAGAUUAGGGAGACAAGAUCUUGUCUAUUAGAUUUAGGUUAAUCAACGGUUGUGGUUAAAAAUGUCUGAUCCUUGCCUUUGAGAUUUAUUUGUCAGUUUUUUUGUGUCUAUGAAUUGCAUUAACUUGAACUGAAGUAAGCUUAGGAAUCUAAAACAAAGCCCCAAAGAGAUACGGGAGACACACGGCCGGCAAAGACACCUUUCCAAAGCCAUGAAACUAAACAAGAGAAAUAAAGAAACUACAACAAUAUAGGCAGCAAUUUUCAUUUAAGAAAAUCAAUCUUUCCAUCAACACUGGUGAUAGGAGCACGGCAAACCAACAUUGAAGGAAAGGAGAUAGCAAACCCCAACAUAAGUGUCAAAAACACCAGAUAAAGCACCACUGGAUAAAGGAUAAGGUGAUCCCUUGCUUAACCCUCGUCCCAAAGUAAUCAGAGA
rnacentral:lncRNA from 1 species